CACGUAGUUAGCCGUGGCUUAUUCAAGAGGUACCGUCUUCUGCUCUUCCCUCUUAAAAGAAGUUUACAACCCGAAAGCCUUCUUCCUUCACGCGGCGUUGCUGGGUCAGGCUUGCGCCCAUUGCCCCAUAUUCCCCACUGCUGCCUCCCGUAGGAGUCUGGGCCGUAUCUCAGUCCCAAUGUGGCCGGUCAACCUCUCAGUCCGGCUACUGAUCGUCGCCUAGGUGGGCCGUUACCCCGCUACCAGCUAAUCAGACGCGAGGCCAUCUUCCAGCGAUAAAUCUUUGGUGUCUCGAUGAUGCCAUCGAAACACAUCAUGCGGUAUUAGCAGUCGUUUCCAACUGUUGUCCCCUCUGGAAGGCAGGUUCCUCACGCGUUACUCACCAGUCCGCCACUAAGCAUUCCCUUCCAUUGUCCGAAAACUCUUUCAGGGGUGCUCCGUUCGACUUGCAUGUGUUAAGCACGCCGCCAGCGUUCGUCCUCGUACGCGACGGAUCGAAACUCUACUGUAACG
rnacentral:rRNA from 1 species